rnacentral:rRNA from 1 species
ACGGUUUGUGCGACGCAGCUAACGCAUUAAGCGCCCCGCCUGGGGAGUACGAUCGCAAGAUUGAAACUCAAAGGAAUUGACGGGGCCCCGCACAAGCAGCGGAGCAUGCGGCUUAAUUCGACGCAACGCGAAGAACCUUACCAAGGCUUGACAUAUACAGGAAUAUGGCAGAGAUGUCAUAGCCGCAAGGUCUGUAUACAGGUGGUGCAUGGUUGUCGUCAGCUCGUGUCGUGAGAUGUUGGGUUAAGUCCCGCAACGAGCGCAACCCUCGUUCUGUGUUGCCAGCAUUUAGUUGGGGACUCACAGGAGACUGCCGGGGUUAACUCGGAGGAAGGUGGGGAUGACGUCAAAUCAUCAUGCCCCUUAUGUCUUGGGCUGCACGCAUGCUACAAUGGCUGGUACAAACGGCUGCGAUACCGCAAGGUGGAGCGAAUCCGAUAAAGCCAGUCUCAGUUCGGAUUGGGGUCUGCAACUCGACCCCAUGAAGUCGGAGUUGCUAGUAAUCGUAGAUCAGCAACGCUACGGUGAAUACGUUCCCGGGGCUUGUACACACCGCCCGUCACAUCACGAAAGUCGGUAACACCCAAAGUCAGUGGCCCAACCGCAAGGA